UACGGGGGGAGCAAGCGUUGUUCGGAUUUACUGGGCGUAAAGGGCGCGUAGGCGGUCGUGACAAGUCACUUGUGAAAUCUCCGGGCUUAACUCGGAACGGUCAAGUGAUACUGUCGGACUAGAGUACAGAAGGGGCAACUGGAAUUCUCGGUGUAGCGGUGAAAUGCGUAGAUAUCGAGAGGAACACCUGCGGCAAAGGCGGGUUGCUGGGCUGACACUGACGCUGAGGCGCGAAAGCUAGGGUAGCAAACGGG
rnacentral:rRNA from 1 species